UCAACCGUCGAGCAAGUAGCAAGUGCAAAGUGCAAAUCCAGAGCAAAUAGCAAGAGUAACAACUUAUUGCAAAAUUAUAGGUUCGAUACAGCUUGCAAGAAACUGUUGUUGUUGGCGCUCAGCCAAAACUAACUGCGUACUAAACUUUGAUCUACGUGAUCAAAAGUACGAAAGACCGUGAACGGGAAAUUCACAGAACGAGCAAACAUUGAAACACUAAACAAAAACGCGCAUAUGCACUACGGUUGUCUUUCUGGAGAGAAAACAAUGUAUACAAGCGACGAAUACUAAAGUGACUCAAAAGUUUCUUGUUUUAUCCACGCUGAGUGUGGAAUCAUUUGCAGAGUGAUCGUGUCGAAGAACAGACCUGUGUUUUAAAUAUUCAUAAUGGACAGAAUUUCAUUACCAACCCAAGAAGUUAUCAAUGUUCCCAAACUCGAGGAAGACAUUGGAGACAAACUAAUUCGGAAGGCCCGAGAAUCUCCUUUUGUGCCACUCGGUUUCGCGGGAUUGGCGCUCGUUAUCGGAAUCGGAGCUUACCGGUUUAAGAACCGUGGUGUGAUGUCCCCAUCCGUGUUUUUGAUGCAGUAUCGAGUAGCGGCACAGGGUGCGUUGGUGGGCGCCUUGACGCUAGGGCUAGGUGCAGCAAUGGCCAACGAGUAUCUUUUCGACAAAACUGGGGAGCAGUAACGAAAAUUAUUGGUAAAAGUGUUCGCGAUAAUAUUCACUGAAUGUCUCAGCUUCCCUUCAACCGACAACUCGUACAUGGAGCAACAAGCGAACACAUUCAAUGUCGAAUGAUAAAGUGAUAGUUGCCGAAUUAAAUUAGUUACUGUGAUGAUGGACUAAAUUCGUGAACGUGUUUCACGGAAGUGAAGCUUGUGAAAAUGAAGGCGAAUGCAUCUUCCAUUACUCAGAGAGAGAAGUAAUUGUAUGCUUUUCAGUUGAAAUAUUCAAUAUUGAAUAAGCAACUGUAAGAGUAAAAACCAAAAAUCGAAACGAGUCAAAGUGAGCUCUUCAAUACUACAAAAAUGAUUCAAUUUCUGUACGAAUCAGGUAAACUCCGAUGUUGAAUAUUAUAAUUGGUAGUGCUAAGCUAGAAAUGUAUAAUAUGUAAAUCCUGUAAAAAUAAUAAAGUUAUACAUA